UGCGGGGACAGCAUGGGGGUUUCUGUAGUGUAGCGGUUAUCACGUUCGCCUCACACGCGAAAGGUCCCCGGUUCGAAACCGGGCAGAAACAAAGCUCCGUUUAUACCGCGAGCUGCUUGUUUAUCAUUCAUCAACCCAAAGCGGAAAUGGGAGAGACGCGGCACACUUUCCUUUAGAAUUGACAUUUUGUACGGAUAUUUGACUAUGGAAAGCCCAAUGUUUGGGAGUAAGUGCAAAACAUUCACGCAUCCCAAGAAAACGAAUGGCAUCCAGGCAAACAAAAAACAUUAACCACGCCAAAAGUGGAGAAAGCUCGGCGAAGGCCUCAGCUGCCAUAUGCAAAAGGGGGCACGUGCACAACGGAGAAGAAGCGCUUUAGAAGAGGAGGGUUACAAAAUAGUUACAUAGUUAAAUCGGGUUGAAAAGAGACAAAGUCAAUCAAUCAAGUUCAACCCGUCCAAAUGAAAACCCCCGCAUCCAUCCAUCCACACACACCCCUCCCUGCUCUCACAUCAAUUAUAUUUCCCCAUAUCUAUACUAACUAUAGAAUUUAGUAUCACAAUAGCCUUUGAUAUGACGUCUAGAAAAGAAAUGUCUUUGCGUCGUCGUAAACAAUUCUGCGUUGGAGUUGAUUGCCGUCAGUUGCAUCGAGGAAGCUCGCCGUCGGCCUCCCUGGUGGUCUAGUGGCUAGGAUUCGGCGCUCUCACCGCCGCGGCCCGGGUUCGAUUCCUGGUCAGGGAAAAUGCACUUUUCUGACUGGUGGCUUUAACGCUGGGGCUUGAGAAGGUCUUUCCCAAACUACGGGUGGUGCAAGGUCUCAAGUGCUGUACGGAAGAAGGCGCUUGUAUUCGUAUGGUAAACGUGUCAUGACUCGAGAGAAACUGAAGAAACUGUCUGAUCUAAAGCCAUGUCAUGCCUUUAACCUUUCCAAGAACAAUACAAGACUACCAUUGUUCACAUGGGAUGCUGUGAGACAAUUUUCUGUGUGAAAUGGGAUAUACAGUAUGAUUCGAGUGAGUUCAGCUAUUCUGUGUUAAAGGCACAAACCAAAGUGGCUUCAUUUGUAUAUCUCGCCGCAAAGAAACCAAAAUCAGCAAAGGAGCUUAGGUAACACCAUUUAAAUAGGACAUUGCGCUGCAAAGCCCUUCCCUUUAGCUCAAAACCACUUGAGCGCUUAGCUGAAGCCAAAAACCACUUCUCGCUACUUACACUUCUAGACCUCUCAGCUCUUUUGACUCGGUGGACCAGCCUCCAGUCCCUCUGUUCUCUUGGCCUUUGUGACACCGCCCUUUCCUGUCCUUUGCAUGGCAGUGGGCCAAUAAGGGGUUAAUCCCCCGCCGGAAGGCGGCACAGGAAGUACAAUAAAAGUCCAUCCGGGUCCCCCCGCGCCCAUCUCAAUUUUCCUGUCGAAGAUACCCCCCAUACCAGAGGUGCUACUCUCUCCCUCUGACGUGCCUGGGACCGAGGUUCUUACCUUGUGUGUGUUCCAGGGGAAGCCGGCGGGCUUCUGGCCUUUGUUGCCGAUGGCGCAAUCAGCCGCAAUGCUGCCUUAACGGAGGUAGCGCAUGCGCGAUAAGACGCCAGCGCCCAUCUCUCUAAUGGCGCCUACGUUUUCACGCUGCGAAUUUACGCACGCGCCUUUUCGCGCCGGUUUAAAAGGACGAGCGCAUCACAGGUCAGUUCCUCUUAUGAUUUCAAACGAACUGGCUGGUGUUCAUUUCUGGCAAGACAAGACUGAGGAAUCUGUGUGCACCUGUAUUCUCGAUUGAUCCCAGGUACUGUCAAUUAUGAGCUGCAGACGCUCAGGCUCCAGGGGGAGUCCCCCAUUAAGAGAGGAAUCUCAAAGAAGGAAGACUCCCAGAACUGAUUGUAUUGCAUGCGGAGAAGCAGCAAUUCUAGGCAAAAGGCUCUGUGAGAAGUGUCUGCAGGAAGUGGCUGGGCCCUCCUCUGAUCAACUGCACUCUAUUAAAGACUGGAUGCAGACUACCAUAAAAAAAUCUAUGAGUGAUAUGGUCAAUGUAGUUACUGAGAAAGUACUACACAAUCUAGAUGAAAG